UUUUUUUUUUUGAAUUUCGUUUGUGUAUAGAUGAUUUCUUUGCAUUAUUUGAAAAUUAUAAGUUCAUGGAAUUAAGUUGACUGUUUUAGUAAAGCUUUUGAAGGUUGGUUUCUGAAUAUUCAUUCUUUAGAUUUGAAUAUUUUGGCAUUUUUUGGGUGUUACUGUAUUUGAAGUAUGUAAAGAGUAAGAAAAGGCCAAGCAUGCAUAUUCCCAUUUUAUUGAUAUGUAUGAACAAUUACUGUGGAUCUGAACUAUCAGGUAUCAGUAACUCUGUCCACUAAGGUUAGAACACACGAGAAGAAAUAACCUAGUGUUUUGUCUCUGUUGGUAUUUGAACCUGAGACCUUAUCAUGGUCAACCCACUUGAUUGACAGUAGGCCACAUCAUUGUGUAUAUUUGUAUUAAUUGAUGGCCCUCUUAGUUCAAACUAGGGAUGUCAAUAUCUCAAUGAAUUUAGCAAUUCCAGUUUUUCAUGCUUCGAUAAAGAUAAGAGUAAUUAAUGGUUUGUAUUUUCUCCUGAUGUACAUUUUGAUGGCAGAUGCCAUACCAUCAAAGGAAGCAAUGCUCUUGCAAAUAUCAGUUGCUAUGAAAGCUAUGCCGUGGUACUGUGCCCUUCCAUCACUUUCUGAGUACAUGAUUGAAAACGGAUGGACCAAAUGUUUUGCGAGAAUAAGUGAUGUUGGAUGGCCUACCUACAUCAUCAAUGCGGCUAUUUAUCUCGUAAUAGUGGAGUUUGGAAUCUACUGGAUGCACAAGUUGUUGCAUGACAUAAAACCUCUGUACAAAUAUCUGCAUGCUACACAUCAUAUUUACAACAAGCAAAACACACUUUCCCCGUUUGCUGGUAAGCUCUUAAGUCUAGUCAUACCAUAUUGGUGCUUAUUUCCGAAAACAACAUCUAGCUCGUGGAGCCAUUAGGUUUCUCUGAGAUACUCUAUUGAUUGUUUGUUGAAUUAAUGAGCGUUUCCUGUGUGAUGACUAAAAACGUUGAAAACCUAGUCAUGAGGACAUUAAAUUAAUAUGUACAUUUUAACAUCCAUGUCUUUAGUCAUGCACCCUUUUGUUUCGUGGUCAGGAGUGUCGACUUAGGUAUUUGGUUAGACUAGGGAAUAACUGAACACAUUGGAAUUUUGUCUCUUGCCUUUUAAUUGUUUCUGUAUGCCAAAUUCAGUUUACUUGAAAAGAGUGGAGUAGCGUUUGAUAACUUUUUUGUUCUUAUUUUCUCCUUUCAUUUUGUUGGAAACUAGAACUUGUGAUAGGAUUGAGGAAAGAAAAAUAUUAAGCAAAUUUCUCUGAAUGUGGAAAUUCGGAAAAAUUGCUACAAGGCAUUUCCUAUAAUUCCAUCACAAAGAGAAAAAGACUGUAUGUUACAACUAAUGACAUUGUCCCUUCGAUUCACACCCACAACAUGCAUUCAUGUUUAUUAAAUCGACUCUCUCUGCAUACCAGCCCCUAACCAACGCACAGCAGCAUAAGCCCUCCCUAUCUUCUCCUCCCUACCUUUUGUAACUUGUAACCAUGCUAUCAUCUCUGACAUUCAGAACUUUCUUUAUAACUCUUUGCAAUGCAUAUCCUGUUCUAGGAAAUUGGUUGCUAAAUCAUCACAAUAUUGCAAGCUAGCUAAUUCAUGAUGUCCAGUUAAUUUAUGGUUUGGUAUGUGUCACCUAUGUGUUGUAAUUUUCUGACACUCUAUCUAGCUAAUUUGACCUCUGAGAGUGAGAGUCGUAGCUUCUUUUCUGGUACAUUUUCAAGCUAAUUGCUAAACAUGUUGUGCUAUUCAGGAUUGGCAUUCCACCCAUUGGAUGGAAUACUGCAGGCGGUGCCACACGUUGUAGCUCUAUUCUUGGUGCCAAUGCAUUUCACUACACACAUAGCGCUCAUAUUCGUGGAAGCCUUAUGGACGGCUAAUAUUCAUGACUGCAUACAUGGUAAGGUGUGGCCUGUAAUGGGUGCCGGCUAUCAUACCAUUCACCAUACAACAUACCGCCAUAAUUAUGGUCAUUACACAAUAUGGAUGGACUGGAUGUUUGGAACUCUUCGUGAUCCCGUUGAAGAGGAUGCCAAGAAAAUGUAAUGUGCAUGAUUUGCAAUCAAGGAUGUUCCUUGUUGUUCAUUGUCCUAGUAAUUUGUCUCGUGUUUCCAUCGUUGGUGGAUGUAAAUUUUGAUGUAGUAGACUGAAAACAAUUUGGUUAUGUAUUCUUAUGUCUUUUCUUCCCUUAUAUUUAAUAAUAAGCACAAUAAAUUCUGUGGGGAAGAAAAUUUCAGUUUCUAACUUUAUGCCACAGCUCUUGAAUGUAAUCAGAUAACGAAAGCUAAAUGUUUCACAGGUAUUUAACGUUGUCACCAUGUUAUGUUGGAUAGAAAAAAAUAUUUCUAGCGUAACAAUUUAUCUGAGUCAAAGAUUUUGAACUAUAUGGUUAACUCAAACUCAUAAACAUGAAUUUCAAGCUAAUUUUUAAUUUUGAGAGAAUAUUAGAUAAUUAUCAAGUUAGUCUUUAAAGCUUAAAUUUGCCUAAAAGGACAAAUUAACUUAAUUUUAGAACUUAAAAUUGGAAAGGUGAAUAUAUAGAACUUGAGUUAAUUAGAUAUAGUGAAAUAAAAAUCAUAAUCAUUGAAAAUCCAUAAUUUUCCAUUGGGAUUCAUCUAAGUUAAUUAAAAGACAAAAAUAUUAAAGUUAGCAACAAAUAUCAUGAAAUUUAAAAUGCGAGGAAAAAGAUGAAUAUAAAUAGAAAAACGGACAAUUUCAAGCUGAUCUCAGCUUUCCGCAUCAGCUCGCUCAACCGGCAUUAUUCUCAAACUUUUUAAGUCCAAAAAAAUGUUAUAUUUCUUAGCCCUUUGGGGCUGCUGCUAUCACCCUGCUCCAUGGAUAAUCGGGUUUGGACCCAAAGCGUUCUCAUUUUCAGCUCUCUUGACUCUUGAGCUGCUGCCUGCCACUAUUUUCUUGGAUUUUAAUCCAAUAAUAUUAAGCUUCCCUUUCACGAGGUUGACUCGAAACAAGCGGGCAUGCUGAUGUUCGAGAAUAUUUGAACAAAAGGGUCUUUAUACUCAAAAUAACUUUUAUCAUAUUAAACAGGAACCUAAAGAUAGUAAAAUAACAGAUUUUAAGAUGCACAAAAGCUAUGAUAUGAGCUUUCAUUCAUUCAAGCCUAGCUCUUUGGAGAAUGCUAAAGAGCAACCCCGAAGGUAAGCUACUUGUCACCUAAACAGGCCCUCGAUCGGUUGGUAUUAAGAACCAAUGGGUCUUUUGGUUGAUAAACAGCUUUUAAUUAAACUCACAUAUAAUUCUGAUUUCAGAACAGGCAAGCAUAGAUGACAUUUCAGCAACGAAUACAGGCUUCCUUCCAUAACACACAGGAGAUAGAAACUUUAGAGUCGAUAGAACUACACACAACAUAUUUAGAUCACAUUCUCGAUAUAGAAGAAUUCAUGAAUUGUAUCUCGAGUACUAUAUGUGUAUAAAGAGAGAAAUUAACAGCUAUAUAUAUAACAUGGAUUUCAAAGUUGAAUAAGGAAAAUA
rnacentral:lncRNA from 1 species